rnacentral:rRNA from 1 species
AUUGAACGCUGGCGGCAGGCCUAACACAUGCCAGUCGAGCGGAUGAAGGGUGCUUGCUCCUGGCUUCAGCGGCGGACGGGUGAGUAAUGCCUAGGAAUCUGCCUGUUAGUGGGGGAUAACGUCCGGAAACGGGCGCUAAUACCGCAUACGUCCUGAGGGAGAAAGUGGGGGAUCUUCGGACCUCACGCUCUCAGAUGAGCCUAGGUCGGAUUAUCUAGUUGGUGGGGUAAAGGCCUACCAAGGCGACGAUCCGUAACUGGUCUGAGAGGAUGAUCAGUCACACUGGAACUGAGACACGGUCCAGACUCCUACGGGAGGCAGCAGUGGGGAAUAUUGGACAAUGGGCGAAAGCCUGAUCCAGCCAUGCAGCGUGUGUGAAGAAGGUCUUCGGAUUGUAAAGCACUUUAAGUUGGGAGGAAGGGAAGUAAGUUAAUACCUUGCUGUUUUGACGUUACCAAAAGAAUAAGCAACGGCUAACUUCGUG